rnacentral:rRNA from 1 species
GAUGAGCGCUGGCGGCGUGCUUAACACAUGCAAGUCGAACGGGAUCCCAGGAGCUUGCUCCUGGGUGAGAGUGGCGAACGGGUGAGUAAUGCGUGACCGACCUGCCCCAUACACCGGAAUAGCUCCUGGAAACGGGUGGUAAUGCCGGAUGCUCCGACAUGACGCAUGUCGUGUCGGGAAAGAUUCAUCGGUAUGGGAUGGGGUCGCGUCCUAUCAGCUUGAUGGCGGGGUAACGGCCCACCAUGGCUUCGACGGGUAGCCGGCCUGAGAGGGCGACCGGCCACAUUGGGACUGAGAUACGGCCCAGACUCCUACGGGAGGCAGCAGUGGGGAAUAUUGCACAAUGGGCGCAAGCCUGAUGCAGCGACGCCGCGUGCGGGAUGACGGCCUUCGGGUUGUAAACCGCUUUUGACUGGGAGCAAGCCCUU